UGCCUGUACCAUAACCGACACAGGUGGGUAGGUAGAGUAUACUAAGGGGCGCGAGAUAACUCUCUCUAAGGAACUCGGCAAAAUGACUCCGUAACUUCGGGAGAAGGAGUGCCUUAUUUAUAAGGUUGCAAUAACAAGAUCCAAGCAACUGUUUAUCAAAAACACAGGUCUCCGCUAAGUCGUAAGACGAUGUAUGGGGGCUGACGCCUGCCCAGUGCCAGAAGGUUAAAGAAGUUGGUUAGUGUAUGCGAAGCUGAUGACUGAAGCCCUGGUGAACGGCGGCCGUAACAAUAACGGUCCUAAGGUAGCGAAAUUCCUUGUCGGGUAAGUUCCGACCCGCACGAAAGGCGUAAUGAUUUGGAUACUGUCUCGGAGAGAGGCUCGGUGAAAUAGACUUGUCUGUGAAGAUGCGGACUACCUGCACCAGGACAGAAAGACCCUAUGAAGCUUUACUGUAACUUGAAAUUGGAAUUGGACUUUGCUUGCGCAGUAUAGGUGGGAAGCGUUGAAGAUAUUCUUGCGGGAGUAUUGGAGCUAUCAGUGAGAUACCACUCUUGUAAUGUUAGAUUUCUAACUUUGAACCAUAAUCUGGUCAAAGAACAGUUUCAGGUGGGCAGUUUGACUGGGGCGGUCGCCUCCCAAAUGGUAACGGAGGCGUACAAAGGUUUCCUCUGAACGGAUAGAAAUCGUAUCUAGAGUGUAAAGGCAUAAGGAAGCUUGACUGUGAGACCUACAAGUCGAGCAGGGACGAAAGUCGGUCUUAGUGAUCUGACGGUACUGAGUGGAAAGGCCGUCACUCAACGGAUAAAAGUUACUCUAAGGAUAACAGGCUGAUCUCCCCCAAGAGUUCACAUCGACGGGGAGGUUUGGCACCUCGAUGUCGGCUCAUCGCAUCCUGGGGCGGUAGUACGUCCCAAGGGUUGGGCUGUUCGCCCAUGAAAGCGGUACGCGAGCUGGGUUCAGAACGUCGUGAGACAGUUCGGUCCAUAUCCGGUGUAGGCGUUAGAAUAUUGAGAGGAGCCUUCUUUAGUACGAGAGGACCGAGAAGGACACACCGCUGGUGUACCAGUUAUCGUGCCAACGGUAAACGCUGGGUAGCUAUGUGUGGAGUGGAUAACCGCUGAAAGCAUCUAAGUGGGAAGCCCACCUCAAGAUGAUUGCUCUCACAGGGUUAACCUGGUAAGGUCACGGGAAGACCACCCGUUGAUGGGCACUCGGUGGAAGUCCAGCAAUGGAUGAAGCCAA
rnacentral:rRNA from 1 species